rnacentral:tRNA from 1 species
GGUCUUGUGGUGCAGUUUGGUUAGCACACCCGCCUGUCACGCGGGAGGUCGCGGGUUCAAGUCCCGUCAAGACCG